CAAAAAUGUCCACAUGAUUUUAUUUCAAUCAUCAACACUUAGGUCCUUCCCGCGGGACUCCCUCGCAGCUCGGGGAAAGGGCGGGCUGCGCCCUCAGGACCUUUCUCAGCAGCCACAGCAGCGCAUCCCAGCACCUCCUCCAGGAGCCCCGCCAUCUCCUGCCACCCGGACUUUCCCCACAGCGCAGUGUCCCCUAGUCCCUUCAGGGCUGGAACAGUGGUACCCGCAGACGGUGCAAAAGGGAAGUCCCUGUUGCCUUUCCAUGCAAGCUGUAGGGCGCUUAGAGCUGCUGGGGGAGGAAAACAAAGAAGAAGAAGAAAUACAGUAAGUGUGAUAUGGGUACAAAGAAACCAACAUGCAGUUUCCGUGUGCCUAGACAGGAGCCGCGGGACAUGUGCACUGGGCCUGCGUCAUCGCCUGCCUUCAGCGGGCUCCAGACCUUCCAGAGGCCCCCCUCACCACCCGCGGCCCUCCCGAGGCUCCCCUCACCCCCACCCACCUCCGAGGCCCUCCCGAGGCUCCCGGACUCCCGCUCCUCUGAGUUGCCUGCGGCUGACUCCAGGUGCGGCCUGGGUCUAGUGUCUGGGGGGGUCUUUCCCAACGAAGGGGAAGAAGGCUUUUCGUGAGCAUGUAAGGAGUACAUCCUCAUUUUGUCUUCUCAAUCUGUUCACCCAGCGCCUGUGACCCGGACCCAGCGCGCGACUCACAGACCCCGGCUCUGGGCACCCCUGGUAAGCGCCUUCUGCCCCAGAGCU
rnacentral:lncRNA from 1 species